UCAUGUGAUAUCAUGGCACCCAAAAUGGCUGCCAUGCUCAGGGGGAAAUGAGAUGUCCUGGUUUCUUCUGGGACACCUGCGGGGGCAGGCAGGGAUUUAAAGAAUGCACAUUCUCACAUCCAAAAGGCACCAAUUUAGCCCCCACCCUCUGGACAUUACUGGAAUUUUGAAGUUCAGAUGGCGACCCUCAACUUGCAGACCCCUCUGCACACCAUUGGAAUAGAUUUUUCAGGGAGGAGAGGGAGAGGGAGAAAAAGUCCCAUUCAGUAGAGUUUACUCCCAGGAUACAAGUUGAAUGAACAACACCUGGUUUUUGUGGAUAUUCACCAUUAUCUCCCAGUCAUGUCCCAUACCACACAGUCUGUCCAUGGACUCAGCUACUGUC